AGAAGUAAGCAAGGGCGUAUGGAGGAUGCCUAGGCUCUCAGAGGCGAAGAAGGACGUGAUAAGCUGCGAAAAGCUGCGGGGAGUUGCAAAUAGACUGUGAUCCGCAGAUGUCCGAAUGGGGCAACCCGUUGUACUGAAGGUACAAUAUGGCAUAGCAAUAUGUCAGGCAAACCCAGGGAACUGAAACAUCUAAGUACCUGGAGGAAGAGAAAACAAGUUAGUGAUUGCGCCAGUAGUGGCGAGCGAACGCGCAAGAGCCCAAACCCUGCCAGUCAAGGCUGGCGGGGGGUUAUAGGACCACGUAAUUGAGUUACCAUGAAGAUGAACCGGGUGGGAAACCGGGCCAAAGCGGGUGAUAGCCCCGUAAUUGUAAAAUGGUAAGGAGAGGUGGUAUCCUGAGUAGGGCGGGGUCGGAGACGCCCCGUUUGAAUUUGCCAGCACCAUCUGGUAAGGCUAAAUACUACUGAGAGACCGAUAGUGAACCAGUACUGUGAAGGAAAGGUGAAAAGUACUCCGAACAGGAGGGUGAAAUAGAACCUGAAACCGUACGCUUACAAGCGGUGGGAGCUUCGUAAUGGAGUGACCGCGUGCCUUUUGCAUAAUGAGCCUACGAGUUACUGUCACUGGCGAGGUUAACCCCGUAGACGGGGGCAGCCGGAGCGAAAGCGAGUCUGAAUAGGGCGCACAGUCAGUGGGAGUAGACGCGAAACUUUGUGAUCUACCCUUGGCCAGGAUGAAGUUAGGGUAACACCUGAUGGAGGUCCGAACUAGUAAACGUUGAAAAGUUUUUGGAUGAGCUGAGGGUAGGGGUGAAAGGCUAAUCAAACUGAGAAAUAGCUCGUACUCCCCGAAAUGCCUUUAGGGGCAGCGUGAGGGUUAAGUUUAACACAGGUAGAGCUACCAAUUGGACUAGGGGGAGUCACAUCCUACCAAAUCCAGAUGAACUCCGAAUGGUGUUAAAUAUACCUUGCAGUGAGGGCAUGGGUGCUAAGGUCCGUGUCCGAGAGGGAAAGAACCCAGAUCUACAGCUAAGGUCCCAAAAUGUACACUAAGUUGAACUAAGGCGGUUCAGUUGCCUAGACAGCCAGGAUGUUUGCUUGGAAGCAGCAAUUCAUUUAAAGAGUGCGUAACAGCUCACUGGUCGAGCGACAGAGCAUCGAUAAUAAUCGGGCAUCAAGUAUAGUACCGAAGCUUGGGAUUUAUCCGCCAUCUGGCGGAUGAGUGGUAGGGGAGCAUUCUAUUCCGCGGAGAAGCAGUCUGGUAAUGGAUUGUGGAGCGUAUAGAAAAGCAAAUGUAGGCAUAAGUAACGAUAAGGCGGGUGAGAAACCCGCCCACCGAUAGACUAAGGAUUCCGCGGCAAUGCUAAUCAACCGCGGGUAAGUCGGGACCUAAGGCGAAGCCGAGAGGCGUAGUCGAUGGACAACCGGUUAAUAUUCCGGUACUACCGUUAUAAGCGAAGUGGAGAAGGAGGAGUGACAGCUCCGCGAACUGACGAAAUAGUUCGUUGAAAGGCGUAGGUAUAGGCCGUGCAGGAAAAUCCGCAUGGUUUGCUGAAACCCAAUAGUACCUGGAGGCUUCGGCCAAAGGGAUAGAGAGCGUAAGCAGACUUCCAAGAAAACCCGCUAGCGUUAAUUAUAAAGGUACCCGUACCGCAAACCGACACAGGUAGUCAAGGAGAGAAUCCUGAGGUGCUCGAGUGAAUCAUGGCUAAGGAACUCGGCAAAUUAACCCUGUAACUUCGGGAGAAGGGGUGCCUAAUUUCUAGCAAUAGAGAAAGGUCGCAGAGAAAUGGCCCAGGCGACUGUUUAACAAAAACACAUGGCUUUGCGAAAUCGAAAGAUGAAGUAUAAGGCCUGACACCUGCCCGGUGCUGGAAGGUUAAGGGGGGACGUUAGUGGGUAACUGCGAAGCGUUGAACUGAAGCCCCAGUAAACGGCGGCCGUAACUAUAACGGUCCUAAGGUAGCGAAAUUCCUUGUCGGGUAAGUUCCGACCUGCACGAAUGGUGUAACGAUCUGGGCACUGUCUCAGCCAUGAGCUCGGUGAAAUUGUAGUCACGGUGAAGAUGCCGUGUACCCG
rnacentral:rRNA from 1 species